rnacentral:rRNA from 1 species
AUAAGGUUAAGUUAAUAAGGGCGCACGGUGGAUGCCUUGGCACUAGGAGCCGAUGAAGGACGGGACUAACACCGAUAUGCUUUGGGGAGCUGUACGUAAGCUAUGAUCCAGAGAUUUCCGAAUGGGGGAACCCAGCAUCUUUAAUAGGAUGUUACGAUUGUGUGAAUACAUAGCACAUUCGAGGUAGACGCAGAGAACUGAAACAUCUAAGUACCUGCAGGAAGAGAAAGAAAAAUCGAUUCCCUGAGUAGCGGCGAGCGAAACGGGAAAAGCCCAAACCAACAAGCUUGCUUGUUGGGGUUGUAGGACUCCAAUAUGGUCGUUCUUUCAGAUAGUCGAAUGACUUGGAAAAGUCAGUCAAAGAGGGUAAAAACCCCGUAGACGAAAUGUGGAAGACACCUAGGAGGAUCCUGAGUACGGCGGAACACGAGAAAUUCCGUCGGAAUCCGGGAGGACCAUCUCCCAAGGCUAAAUACUCCCUAGUGACCGAUAGUGAACCAGUACCGUGAGGGAAAGGUGAAAAGCACCCCGGGAGGGGAGUGAAAUAGAACCUGAAACCGUGUGCCUACAACAAGUUCGAGCCCGUUAAUGGGUGAGAGCGUGCCUUUUGUAGAAUGAACCGGCGAGUUACGAUAUGAUGCGAGGUUAAGUUGAAGAGACGGAGCCGUAGGGAAACCGAGUCUUAAUAGGGCGACUAGUUGCAUGCUGUAGACCCGAAACCGGGUGACCUAUCCAUGG